CAGGUCCGGUGCACUGCGACAUUUUCUUUGGCGUAGCGAGUAGCGUCAGCGAGAGGAGACAAACCGAGAGGUUGAAUUUUAACCCGAGUCAUUCUGAACCCGUUAGCGGGGUUGACCCAGAACAUAUUUUCGUCGACUCUAAUUGAUUCAACCAAACUGGGUUAUGGUCUUCCGUUGAAUUCACGAAAUCUUCCUCUCGCAGUAUCUCUCCUGGACAAACUCGCGAUCUUCGUAUCCGAAAUAAGCUCGGUUGAACUGGCAUCGUAGAAAUCCAAUUGUAAGUUUGAUCGAAUUCCCUGCCCAGAUGGACCUUAAUUCAAUUGGCGUUAAACCUCAAACUCACCUUGAUACGAGGAAGCGGAGCCUGCCGGAGCCCGGUCCGGUUAAAUAUUUGACGAGGUCCAGAGGAAGGAGCAUAUUUUCGGAACCGAUGACAUAGGGGAAAAGCAGCCGAAAUUUCGAAGGAAUGAUGAUUUCAUUGGAAAUUCUUAUAACUGAAUUGCCUGAGAAUUAUUCCUGCAGUUGACCCUCUUGGGCAGUGACACAAACGAGCAUUUCGAAAUUGAUUAUGAAAGCGAAUACAUGAAUAUUAUAGAAGAACGGAGGGACUUUGAUUUUAAAGAGUUAUGAAGAUAUUUCUGAGAGCCCGCAGUCAUGAGCAGCUAAACUUCGAGAUUUUUUAUUCGGAAAUUUAUGAAACUAGAGAAGUGAAGAAACCUGCCAACGGCAGAGCUCAACAAAAGCACCAAAACAAUCUCCGACGCUUCAAAACUUCGCGAGGAGUAUUUUUCCAUCGGUAUAACGAUGGAUUGAAUUUGAAUAAAUUUCAAACAUUUGGAAGACAAAGCAGAGGGGGAAAAAAACGAUAAAAGUGGGAGUCAGUGGAUUUCGUAUGCACGUAGCCCGUAUUCGCGAUAUGGAUUUACGCUCAUAUGUACACGAGGAUAGUAAAAUGUGUGGAUAUCGAUUGUUACAACGGAAAACGGCCCAUCCCGCAAAAAGCCAAUAGCACGUGCUGCAUAAGCACCCGCCCUUUUUCCUCCUCAGAAGUCAAUAAAUGUAUAAACACACACAUACACGUCCGUAUCCUACUGCAUCGACGUUUAUUUCAUCCUGGGUUUAUACGAGCCUUUGAAAAAAGUGUGGGCGACCGCGAAUCGGACUGGGAACGAAGAAUUUACGGGUGUACCCAUCCGCGGAGGACUAAAUCAUCGUGCCGGGAGCGUCGGGGAGUCGGGGAUCAUCGAUUUUCAAUUUUCGUUUCCACUUUAACCGACACCAAGGUUUGUUUUGGUUGGAUUUUCUGUGUUAUGUGAAACGGAGUGAGGGAACUCGGGUUGAUGUGAUUCCGCGGAAACAAAUACCCGUAACUGACUUAUCGUAAUUGAAAUAUAAAUGUAAAUUAUUGUUCGUUAUACCGAGCGAGUAAAACGAGGGAGCAUGAAAUUCAUUGCGUUUUAUGCCAGGAAUAAUUAGCACUCGUUCUGGCUGCACCGAAACGUUUAUUUGAAUUAUUUUCGUAGUCACGGAUAAUUAAAAACUACAUUAUUUGAGUUUCCCCACGAGAUUAUUUUUAAACAAUCGAAUUAACGGGGAGUUGCUAAUGUGAUUACUAAUUCGGAUCGUGAGAUUUCCCGUAUUGUUUUAUUCAC
rnacentral:lncRNA from 1 species